GUUAUUCUUAGCCACAAUCCUCUACGCAGCGGAUUAUAUGCCACAUCGACUGAGCUGCUGAGAAAGCACAGACCAGUGACAGCCAUUGACAGCGCGUUGACAGUGCAAUGACGGAAACCAGUGCAACAACAGAAGCUGCAAUGACAGAUGAGCAGCAUCCUAUAAUAGCCAAAUCAUGAGAGACAGUCCAGCAGAUGAGUCAAUCGGCUAACGAUAGCAAUGCUACUUCGGUGCUGUUAGCCAGCAGCUCAGCUAACAAUAGCCUAGUGCCUGCACCCACUCUGUCCCUCAUCCCAGUAGGAGAGGAUGCUGCCUCUUCGACUACAACUUCAAAUGAAGACGUCAACCACGCUGGAACACUUCAAGGACAGGAUAGACACGAAACUCCCAUGAGUCAUGAAUCAUCAGGACAAAAGAGCAAGAGAAAUGAGCAACUGUGUUGGAAAAUAUCUGUUUCUUUGAUAAAAAGCCAAAGGUACAAGCCUGUGGACAUGAAAACCUAAGGAGAGACAUUAUGUAGGACUCACAAGGUGUGUUUCAGUAAAAUAUAUCCGAGAACUUAAAUAUAUGAUGCUGAAGCUAAAGACUGCACUAUGUAGAGACCUGAUUAAACAUAUGACAGUUUAAAUCCAUUGAUAUUCAGAUUCUGGGUCCAUUCUGGAUGAAUUCAGCAGCUAUGAUGCACUGUUUUAUUCCCAACUGCAACAAUGAAGUAUUCUGGAUUUGCUAAAGUGCUGAUUUACGCCUCUUUUUGGUUGCUUCUCUGAAGCAACAGUGGCUAAGGCUCAUGGGUAUUGUAGUAAAUUGUUGCCCUAGCAAGUUGACAGUUGAGUCCACAGCCAUGCUAGUGGCUCUGAGAGGCUGUACUUCAUGCAUCAGCAUGUUAACAUGCUCACAGUGACAAUGCUAACAUUCUGAGGAAGGUGUUUUUUACCAUGUUCAAUCUCUUAUGUAAGUAUAUUUACUUAAUUAGCAGUAAACACAAAAUACAGCUGAGGUUGAUAGGAAUGACAUCCAUUUUGCUCAUAAAACAAAGUAUUGGAAAAAUUAAAAUUGUGACCUAAUGAUGGCGCUAGAUGGAAAGUGAGGUUUUAAAGUUAUUAAGAUGUUUUCAGACUGAAAGUUAAGCAAAUUUUCCCCUUUGUGUCAUUUGAGCAAACUUGACUGUUGGAACACUGCAGUCUGUGUUCAUUGGCCCCAAAUAGUCAAAGUACUGACUGUUUUUUGCUGUCUUACAACUAGGCUAGAUACAGACACACAGACUGAAUGUGUGCAGUCUGUCUGGCUCUAUAUUUUUGUUCCUGCAGUGUUGUGCGAUUGUGUAAGGGAAAUGGCUGAAUA